rnacentral:rRNA from 1 species
CCUACGGGUGGCAGCAGUCGAGAAUUUUUCUCAAUGGGGGAAACCCUGAAGGAGCGACGCCGCGUGGAGGAUGAAGGCUUUCGGGUUGUAAACUCCUGUCAUUUGAGAACUAGUAUCAGAAGAGGAAGAGACGGCUAACUCUGUGCCAGCAGCCGCGGUAAUACAGAGGUCUCAAGCGUUGUUCGGAUUCAUUGGGCGUAAAGGGUGCGUAGGUGGCGGGGUAAGUCAGGUGUGAAAUUUCGGAGCUUAACUCCGAAACUGCAUUUGAUACUGCCUUGCUUGAGGACUGGAGAGGAGACUGGAAUUCACGGUGUAGCAGUGAAAUGCGUAGAUAUCGUGAGGAAGACCAGUGGCGAAGGCGGGUCUCUGGACAGUCCUGACACUGAGGCACGAAGGCCAGGGGAGCAAACGGGAUUAGAUACCCUUGUAGUC